rnacentral:tRNA from 1 species
AAGGGAGACCUAAUUCCGGUAGGAGACGAAAAAAAAGUAGUCCCUACCAAGAAUCAAUCCCAAAAGGUCGGAACGAGGUAUGAGGCUUUCAAACUAGGUUCUGGGUUCAUAAAAGACCUGAAUCAGGAACAAGGGCUAUUAGCUCAGGUGGUUAGAGCGCACCCCUGAUAAGGGUGAGGUCCCUGGUUCGAGUCCAGGAUGGCCCACCUGCACAGGUGGCAAAAACAAAGAAGCUCCGAAUCAGCACCUUAUCUUACUUAUAUAGUAAGAGAGAAUGCUGGCUCUGAGUUCAGAGUCCAGAGGAACCUUGAAAACUGCAUAGAGCUAGGUGAAAAAGCCAAAAAAGAAGACCGCAAGGUCAAGCUAAUAAGGGCUAACGGUGGAUACCUAGGCAC